CGAAAAUAGAGCAGCAGGUCGGUAGCUCCUGCGCCCGCUAGCGGGUCUUCACAGCCACGG
rnacentral:ncRNA from 1 species